UAAUACGUAGGGUGCGAGCGUUAAUCGGAAUUACUGGGCGUAAAGGGUGCGCAGGCGGCGUCGCAAGUCAGGCGUGAAAUCCCCGGGCUUAACCUGGGAACUGCACUUGAAACUACGAUGCUGGAGUAUGGCAGAGGGAGGUGGAAUUCCACGUGUAGCGGUGAAAUGCGUAGAGAUGUGGAGGAACACCGAUGGCGAAGGCAGCCUCCUGGGCCAAUACUGACGCUCAUGCACGAAAGCGUGGGGAGCAAACAGGAUUAGAUACCCUGGUAGUCCACGCCCUAAACGAUGAUGACUAGUUGUUGGAGGAGUUAAAUCCUUUAGUAACGCAGCUAACGCGAGAAGUCAUCCGCCUGGGGAGUACGGUCGCAAGAUUA
rnacentral:rRNA from 1 species